rnacentral:rRNA from 1 species
AGUGAACGCUGGCGGUAGGCCUAACACAUGCAAGUCGAACGGCAGCACAGUAAGAGCUUGCUCUUACGGGUGGCGAGUGGCGGACGGGUGAGGAAUACGUCGGAAUCUACUUUUUCGUGGGGGAUAACGUAGGGAAACUUACGCUAAUACCGCAUACGACCUACGGGUGAAAGCAGGGGAUCUUCGGACCUUGCGCGAUUGAAUGAGCCGAUGUCGGAUUAGCUAGUUGGCGGGGUAAAGGCCCACCAAGGCGACGAUCCGUAGCUGGUCUGAGAGGAUGAUCCGCCACACUGGAACUGAGACACGGUCCAGAUUCCUACGGGAGGCAGCAGUGGGGAAUAUUGGACAAUGGGCGCAAGCCUGAUCCAGCCAUACCGCGUGGGUGAAGAAGGCCUUCGGGUUGUAAAGCCCUUUUGUUGGGAAAGAAAAGCAGCAGGUUAAUACCCCGCUGUUCUGACGGUACCCAAAGAAUAAGCACCGGCUAACUUCGUG